UCGGGGUGUCUGGCUGGACCUCGCCGGCACCCGCUGUCGCCGGGCGCUGUCCCCGCUGCGCUGAGCCGGGUGGUGCUCCCGGGAGCGGGGCGCGGAGUCUCCCCUGGGCUUCCUCCCCUUGGCCCGAGGAUUUGACAUCAAACGCGCCGCUCCCAUUCGGCCGGGGCCAGCGGACCGAGCGGCCGCAGGACUUGGUUAAUAAAGGGCCCCAUUCUUGGGCCUCUAAGUAGACUUUUUGUUUCUGAUCAUUCUUAUCCUGAAAAGACUCUAAAUGACAUGAUGAGCGGACCCUUGGCUGGGUCGCUGAGUCCGCCCGGCUCCCGGAAGCCCGGUCGCCUCCGUGCCAGCGGCGCCCCCUAGAGGCGAGCGGCGCCUUAAUCGUGACCAACGUGAGCGUCUCUGGGCUAAUGCGCAGGGCAGUUCUCCGCUGCACCAUUGUUCCCACUUAAACAGGGAGGGUGAGGGGGCGGCGGGGGGGCCGUAAAUAACUUGCCCCGUCGUAAGACGUACAACUCCCGCUCAUGGUCAAAACCAUCAGUUCCCAUUUUUAGCAGAAAAUACUUGAGUCGGUGGCUAGAAAUGUGUGCAUUUCCUAUGCAAAUUCAUGUCAAGAUUCUCAAUAUUUUGGAGGGCGAUUAGCUGGAUAUAAAAUAAAACAGCCCAGCCUAGGCUAGGCCAUGGGACUUAACAUCGAUGCAUCUCAGGGACCCAGUGCUGUGAAGGGAGAGGAACGGCCUCACUUCUCUGUUACCAAGGUUCCCGGUUUCCAUGGCAACCCUACAUCCGGAGUUAUUGGGAUAAUUGAGAUACUACCGGUGCCUUAACGUUUCCAGGUACCUGAGGGUCUCCAGGUAUCAUCACUGCAUGGGCCAGCGACAGGGUCUACACGGCUGAAACAACCAGGUGCAGAGGGGAUACUGAAUUCAUCCUGGUGGCUUCUCAGUGUAUAUUCAGGCCCCAUCAGCAACCACAGAUGAUAGGUCAAGAAGAGUUUCACCAAUGGAAUACAGAUCCACCCUCCAGGCCCAGAAAAGCAGCAAAACCAGACCAGCGACCCCAUGGCUGCCUCAGGACCAGCUGCAUUGAGGAAGGACCCCCUGCCCUGGUGCCAGCCGCCUGGUCAAUCAGCUCUGAAAGGACACACCUGGAAAGCUGCUGAAUAUUCCAUUAGGAGCUCCUGGGACCUCCCCUCAAAUCUCCACCCUUAAAGCCCUAGGACUGAGGACCCAGUGUGCUUGCUCUCCCUCCUGGGAGCUGCCAGAACCUUUCCCUUUUCCUGUUCCUGUUCCCUCCCCAGACACCGCCCCCCCCCCCCCCAGGCUUGUUACCAUUAUCAUUACCUUCCUCACUCCCAAGCUUCCAGGGCUCUUCCUCUACCUCAUAACUCCUUUCCUCAGCCCGUCUCUUCUACGAAUGACUUCCUCUACCUCUGUGACUUUAGAAAUAAAUAUUCUCUUCUA